rnacentral:lncRNA from 1 species
ACACCCUGCUGAUAACCUGGUUUCUUUCCUCAACAAUGCUAAGGGGGCAACUGUCGGCGAUGUGAGUAGACAGAUUAAUAAAUUGGUUGCAUCCUUUAAAGUUAUUUGUUCAUAUUUAACUAUAUUAUAUUGUGCAUUUUUGCAGGCUGUGAACAAGCUAGGCGUAAUGGGUCUUUGUACUCGCGGUCUUCCUCUUCGUAUAGUCAUGAUUGGUACACUCACUGGAGCACAAUGGGGCAUCUAUGACUCUUUCAAAGUUUUUGUUGGCCUGUGAGUUUCUCCUUCCUUUCUUUUCUUUUCUUUUCAGUUCAGUUGUCUAAUGUUAUGUUUGUUUGAUUUGACGAAAGUCAAGAAAAUGACGUUCUCCAUUUAUGGGCAAGUCAUUUUCUUAUGACUAUCUUAAUUUAUAAUUUCAUAUCUUCAACUAACACUUAUCCAUUAUCACUAAUCUUUAGUACUCAAGAAUUUCAUCAAAGUACUCCCUGAUUUGCUAAUAUCAUUAUUGACAUCUAACAUAUAUUCUUUUUUGUUUCAAAUUAUAUUUUUUAUUCACCAACCAAACUUUUGAAAUCAUUUUCUAUGAAAAUAUCUUUCAUGGACAAUAACUUUCGUCAUACCAAACACACUUCAUAUUUUUUCAAAAUCAUCCACCGCGCUCCUCCAACUUCUGUAUUUACUAGCUUAUUCCUUUCUAAUAUGAGAAAAUUUCCCUACCAUAAUCAGAUAAAAGAAUAUCUUAUGACUAGUUAUAAUUAAUUUCUUGAAAUGAUGUUGCCACCCAUUGCUCUUGCAGGCCAACGACCGGUGGUGCAGCCUCACCUGCCCCUGCCAAGUGAAGAGGAAAAUGUGAAAUAAUUAAUGAUGAAAAAUCUUCUCCAGUACUCAAUAUCUCUUUCAUUUACUGGCAGAGGGAAAAUGGAAAUGUUUUUCCAUCUAAAAGUUUGUUUGAACAGUGUAGGAAAGUUUUUGCAUUAAUUCAAGCUUUGCAGUAAGAUCUGAUAUUUUGUUGGGAGGAUGAAUUAUCCUCAAGAUGGCUGGUUACUGAAGAAG